CGGGGGUCCACGGACCCCCGGCCUGACCCCGGUACCUCAUACGGCCGGGGCGG
rfam:Streptosporangium subroseum strain CGMCC 4.2132 genome assembly, contig: Ga0079903_1031